UAAUAGCGUAUAUUAAAGUUGUUGCAGUUAAAAAGCUCGUAGUUGGAUCUUGGGGCCGGGUGCGCUGUCGGCCAUUGGUCGGACGGCCUGCUCGGCUCUUUCUUUCUGGAAGCGGCGUCACCUUUUACUAGGGGGCGUUCGGGUCCAGAUCGUUUACUUUGAAAAAUUAAGAGUGUUCAAAGCAGGCCAUCGCUUGAAUACAUUAGCAUGGAAUAAUGGAAUAGGACUGCGGUUCUAUUUUGUUGGUUUCUAGGACCGAAGUAAUGAUUAAUAGGGAUAGUUGGGGCCGUUUAUAUUCCGUUGUCAGAGGUGAAAUUCUUGGAUUUACGGAAGAUAAACUUCUGCGAAAGCAUUCGGCAAGGAUGUUUUCAUUAAUCAAGAACGAAAGUUAGGGGAUCGAAGAUGAUCAGAUACCAU
rnacentral:rRNA from 1 species